UUAUGAACUCGACGUGAUUAUACUACAAUGUCACGUUUAUUGUCACGAGGAAGCUCAAAAUUUGGAUCUUGUUGGGUCAUCCUGGAGAUGCGAUCCAACAGGAUAAUGCUCAUGAACUCCACUUAUGGUAUGUUUGUUAGUGCUUACUGCCAAAGAAGGCGUGAAUGAUGUUUGGUUGAGUGAUCUCUACAAGCAAGGAAGUUUGCUGGAUGAGUACACACAACCAGCUUUGACUACGAUGUACAUAAAUGUGGAUAUGAUUGACAAAUGGUGGUCUUGGUUUGAAAAGUUCAUGACAAAUGAUUCUAAAAAAGCUUCUUCUUGUUGCUUAUCCAGGCAAAAGCUGACUGUUGUGUGUUAAAUAAAUUUGAUGAUAAAGGCUUAAAGGACACGAGUGGACUGCAUUAAGGCUGGUGAAAAGUUUGAUGGCAUGGCAAUUGUGUCAAAAAAGUGGACUUAUGGUUCUUUAAUACAGACGAUAUCACUGCUGAACUACCUCAUAGAGCAGUGAGCUAUAUCAAAAAAACUGCAAGAGGGAGGUUUGCAAAGUGGCCGCAUUCUGUAUUCAGGUUAUUUUUGUAUGGAAGUAGUUGAACCAUCAGCAGAACACCUUGGAGACCAAGCAUGCACAGCUGACCAUCUUUUGCUCCCACCAAAGGUGACAUCUGUUCUCAUUUAAGGGAAAUGCACAGCAUGUGUGUCAAAGAACACUCUACCAACCAAGAAAUACAUUGCCGGCAUACGAAACUGGAAUGGGUUGGAGCAGCAAGAGAAAUGAUUCAGACACGG